rnacentral:RNase_P_RNA from 1 species
GUAGUCCAGGCAGUUGCGUGCACCACCUGGGUGUAUGAGGAAAGUCCGGGCUCCAUAGGGCGAGGAUGCCAGAUAACGUCUGGCGUAGGUAACUAUAGGGAAAGUGCAACAGAAACACACCGCCGAAACGGGUAAUGCCGUGGUAAGGUUGAAAUGGUGAGGUAAGAGCUCACCGGGAGGUAUGGUAACAUAUUUCCCGUGUAAACCCCAUCCGGAGCAAGACCAAAUAGGGCAAAGAAGGCGGCUGCCCGUCGCCGCCCGAGAGGUAGGUCGCUGGAGCGUGCUGGUGACAGUACGUCGAGAUAGAUGAUUGCCAAAUACAGAACCCGGCUUACGGGCUGCCC